AUCGAAACACUCGGACAUAAACCCAUUGCUCCCUCCACCACCAUUUCUAUCGCUUCCACCAACUCAACAAUCUCUAUCGCUUCCACCACAAUCAGCACCACCACCUACAUCACGCCUGCUAAUAUUAUUAACAGGUUAAAGAUUGAUUUUUUAUUAUUAAUUUCAACUUCUUGUUAAUUGUUCUUCAUUUUCUUAGGUUAAACAUUGAUUUUCGAAACCAGAUUUAGACAUCGAUAUGUAUUUUUGGUUCCGAUUUUAUAAUUUGGAGUUGGAGAUUCACAUUAAUGAUUACAUUUUUAAUUUUCCGAUCUGGAAAAUUGAUGAUAUGGGAAGAUAGAUUAAUGGUGGAGAUACUCGUGGUGGAAAAGUAUAACUGGAAAAUAGAUCUGGAAAAUUGAUGAUAUGAGAAAGUUGUUGAUGGUGGAGAUACUCGUGGUGCAGGUAAAGGACGUAUAUGGUUUAGCUCCAUUAGCAUUGACCAUACAAUGAAGGUGCGGGUGCUGGCAGUGACUGAAAUGUGCAGUAUAGAAGUAGAAAUGGAGUUGUUGGUGUUGUUUUCCAUGAAUCUGGAAUUGCAAGUCUGGAUUGAUGUUUAUAAAGCUACAUGUGAUGAUCAAUUUGUUGUUGUUUAUAUUUUUUUAUGGGAUCAAUUAUUGUUGUUGACCAAUUUUUUAUGGAUCAUUAUGAUUGUUGAUCCAUUUAUGGGAUCAACUUCUGUUGUUGACCCAAUUUUUUAUGGGAUCAACUACUGUUGUUGAUCCUUUCAACUCUUAUUAUUGACAAUAUUUCCUUGGAUAAGUAUAAUCAUGCUUGUAGUUUAAA